ACGGAAGGCAGCAGUGGGGAAUAUUGGGCAAUGGGCGCAAGCCUGACCCAGCAACGCCGCGUGAAGGAAGAAGGUUUUCGGAUUGUAAACCUUUGUCUUUGGUGAAGAAGAAAGUGACGGUAGCCAAGGAGGAAGCCACGGCUAACUACGUGCCAGCAGCCGCGGUAAUACGUAGGUGGCAAGCGUUAUCCGGAUUUACUGGGUGUAAAGGGAGCGCAGGCGGGACAGCAAGUUGGAUGUGAAAUACCGAGGCUUAACCACGGAGCUGCCUCCAAAACUGUUGUUCUUGAGUGAAGUAGAGGUAGGCGGAAUUCCGAGUGUAGCGGUGAAAUGCGUAGAUAUUCGGAGGAACACCAGUGGCGAAGGCGGCCUACUGGGCUUUUACUGACGCUGAGGCUCGAAAGCGUGGGGAGCAAACAGGAUUAGAUACCCUGGUA
rnacentral:rRNA from 1 species